rnacentral:rRNA from 1 species
UACGUAGGUGGCAAGCGUUAUCCGGAAUUACUGGGCGUAAAGCGUGCGCAGGCGGCUUCUCAAGUCAGGGGUGAAAGCCCACGAGCUCAACUCUGGAGUUGCGUUAGACUGAGUGGCUUGAGUACGAGAGAGGGUGAGUGGAAUUCCCAGUGUAGAGGUGAAAUUCGUAGAUAUUGGGAAGAACACCGGUGGCGAAGGCGGCUCACUGGGCUCCGUAACGUGACGCUCAUGCACGACAGCGUGGGGAUCAAACAGG